GUCACCUCCAGUACAUGGUGCAGCAGCGUCACACGACUCUGCUGGGACUUGGUCUCUGUGAGCUUCAGCAACGUGCUAAUCUUGAAACCGUCUGCAUCUCCUGUGUGGCUGCCCUGUGAGGGACAGGGGGCUAAGCAGGAGCCCAGGGCUACUCACCAGGGAAUAUCCAAGAGGAGAAUGUAGAACUGGUCAGCACUGGCCAGUUUGGCUCGCUCCUCCGUGAACGCCCGCAGGUUCUCAAUCUGCAUGGAUGCCACAGACAUCUUGCUGAACUGCAGGGAGAGAGGAGGACAGAGCCAUCAGCCUGACCAGGGAACACACAGGACCCACAGAUUAAGAGAUCAGAGGCCAGCUUGGCCGCCCUUCCAGCUGUCCAGCUGUCUACUCACCCAGAUGCGCAGGACUUUCCGACCAUCUCUGCCUACACAUUCGGGACCCUGCCUCCAGCUUCUCAUCCCUGCUGCCAGCUGCCGGUGUGGACCUGGUUUCUCUUGGGCAGCGUUACGCCCUUGAAGUAGGUCUUGGUAGUAAGUGUGGGAGCUUUACCACAGAACGGAACUGCCUGACGGGCCUCUGCACACUCCCUAGUUUCUGUGCUGCCCAAAGAGGUGCCUAGAACUGGCCUCCCCGCCUCCCCGCCCCAUCCCUGCCUCCAUUGGCCAGAGGCUCUGUCCCCUUGGCACAGGCUGAGUGGUUGGAGUAUGAACUCACCCAGACCUGGCCUCUGGCAUCCAGAGUUCUCUGGCCAGGAGCUCUAGUCUUUCAUGCUGAACCCACCCGGUCUUUCUGGGACAUCAGGAUCACCAGAGUCACUGUGCCCCAGGCUUGAGGCCCCCAGAUACAAAGGUCAGGGUAACUGCUUGCCUUACAACUGCUCCUCUGGCACUUUCCAGUCCUCCUGCCCCGUGUGCAGCCUGUCCAAGGACUGUGGACUCACUCUGUGAUGGGAUCCUCCCUGUAUCUGUGGGGUGGGCCCUGGAUUCAUGCUCGCUUUCCUGGGAAUUUAUUUGUGGGGUUAAAAGGCUAAGCCCCAAAGCCCUACUGAUGACUGUCCACCUGGGAGAGCCAGUCUGGCUGGAAACCAAGAUGCCAAGGUGAGGAGCACUUUCUUCCUCUGCCAGGCUUCCUACCUCUCUGUAGGAUGACGCCGAGGGUGGACAGGUGACAGUGGCUUAAUACUGUGACAGCAUCUGGUACUCCACAGUCUAGCAGCUUUGGCCAGGAAGGUCAACGGAUUAGACCGAUUAAUGAUUGACAGCCUUCA